rnacentral:rRNA from 1 species
GUCGUGAGACAGUUCGGUCCCUAUCCGCUGUGCGCGUAGGAAUAUUGAGAAGGGCUGUCCCUAGUACGAGAGGACCGGGACGGACGAACCUCUGGUGUGCCAGUUGUCCUGCCAAGGGCAUGGCUGGUUGGCUACGUUCGGGAGGGAUAACCGCUGAAAGCAUCUAAGCGGGAAGCCUGCUUCAAGAUGAGUAUUCCCACCUCCUUGAGAGGGUAAGGCUCCCAGUAGACGACUGGGUUGAUAGGCCAGAUGUGGAAGCCCGGUAACGGGUGAAGCUGACUGGUACUAAUAGGCCGAGGGCUUGUCCUCAGUUG